GAUGAACGCUGGCGGCGUGCCUAAUACAUGCAAGUCGAGCGAAUGGAUUAGAGCUUGCUCUUAUGAAGUUAGCGGCGGACGGGUGAGUAACACGUGGGUAACCUGCCCAUAAGACUGGGAUAACUCCGGGAAACCGGGGCUAAUACCGGAUAACAUUUUGAACCGCAUGGUUCGAAAUUGAAAGGCGGCUUCGGCUGUCACUUAUGGAUGGACCCGCGUCGCAUUAGCUAGUUGGUGAGGUAACGGCUCACCAAGGCAACGAUGCGUAGCCGACCUGAGAGGGUGAUCGGCCACACGGGGACUGAGACACGGCCCAGACUCCUCCGGGAGGCAGCAGUAGGGAAUCUUCCGCAAUGGACGAAAGUCUGACGGAGCAACGCCGCGUGAGUGAUGAAGGCUUUCGGGUCGUAAAACUCUGUUGUUAGGGAAGAACAAGUGCUAGUUGAAUAAGCUGGCACCUUGACGGUACCUAACCAGAAAGCCACGGCUAACUACGUGCCAGCAGCCGCAGUAA
rnacentral:rRNA from 1 species